rnacentral:ncRNA from 2 species
AAUUAAUAUGGCGAUGACGUUCGCCUAUACUCGUUUAAUAAAAGAGUUGAUGACGUCUACCUUUAU